CUGACCAUGAAUCGCAGUCUGAGGGAAAAGAAUCAGACAUUGAAAUUCAGGACUUACAGAGAAAUCUUAACAGGCUGCAUUUAACACUGCCUGCCCAGGCUAUUCGAAUUUGGCCAGUGCCUGCUAAAAGGACAAAAUUUAACAGACAUGGAAGAGAUAGAACCCAGAUUCAAGCAACUGAGGAUCGACCCGGAGGAGCCCCUAUCCAGAAGGAGGAGAUAUCGGAAAAGGAUGAAGAAAGACCAGAUUGACCCAGCCGAAAAGCUGAUUUCAUGGGAAGAUGUGAAGAAGCUAACAACCCAGGCUUCCCGAAUACUUUGACACCUAGGAGAGAACAGGACCCCAGUGAUGAUGGUAGCAACAGUAAUUGCCCUGCUGGGCUGUCAGGAUGGCGAGUCUUCGGAACAAGAAUACAGAAACUCCAAAGAGUGAACUGCCGCCUCAUUUUUAAGAAUAGAAAGGGGGAAUAUGUGGAGAGCCAUUCUCACGCGUGACUGGGUGACUCCUGGUUUGGGUCUGAGGCUUCUGGCUGUGUCGGAAUUUUCCCGGCCCUCUCCUGAUGAGAGAA